AAGUCGUAACAAGGUUUCCGUAGGUGAACCUGCGGAAGGAUCAUUAUUGAAUGAAUCUAGAGUUGGUUUGUCGCUGGCCCCCCAAUUGGGCAUGUGCACGCCUUCUCUCCUUCAUCCACACACACACACCUGUGCACUUGUGAGACGGAGGAUUUGAAAAAAAAGUCCUCUGUCUACUAAUCACACACAAACUCAAUUGUACUUGAACUGAAUGUAAUUGAUGUAACACAUCAUUGGAACAAAGUUUCAACAACGGAUCUCUUGGCUCUC
rnacentral:misc_RNA from 1 species